UGGGGAAUAUUGCACAAUGGGCGCAAGCCUGAUGCAGCCAUGCCGCGUGUAUGAAGAAGGCCUUCGGGUUGUAAAGUACUUUCAGCGGGGAGGAAGGGAGUAAAGUUAAUACCUUUGCUCAUUGACGUUACCCGCAGAAGAAGCACCGGCUAACUCCGUGCCAGCAGCCGUGGUAAUACGGUGGGUGCAAGCGUUAAUCGGAAUUACUGGGCGUAAAGCGCACGCAGGCGGUUGAUUGAGUCAGAUGUGAAAUCCCCGGGCUUAACCCGGGAAUUGCAUCUGAUACUGGUCAGCUAGAGGCUUGUAGAGGGGGGUAGAAUUCCAUGUGUAGCGGUGAAAAGCGUAGAGGUGUGGAGGAAUACCGGUGGCGAAGGCGGCACCCUGGACAAAGACUGACGAUCAGGUGCGAAAGCGUGGGGAGCAAACAGG
rnacentral:rRNA from 1 species